rnacentral:ncRNA from 1 species
CUCUGCUCAGAGCACACCCCGCGAAAGCGGGGGCCGCAGAGCCGCGACGCUAAGUCCGCCCAUCGGGGGAUACGCGAGUCGGGCCGCCAGA